rnacentral:rRNA from 1 species
ACACGGAGGGCGCAAGCGUUGCUCGGAAUCACUGGGCGUAAAGCGGGUGUAGGCGGUCUAGCAAGUCAGAUGCGAAAGCCCACGGCUCAACCGUGGAAGUGCAUCUGAAACUGCUAGACUUGAGUGCCGGAGAGGGAAGUGGAAUUCCUGGUGUAGGGGUGAAAUCCGUAGAUAUCAGGAGGAACACCGGUGGCGAAGGCGACUUCCUGGACGGCCACUGACGCUGAGACCCGAAAGCGUGGGGAGCAAACAGGAUUAGAAACCCUAGUAGUCC